rnacentral:hammerhead_ribozyme from 1 species
GCACUGCUGACGAGUCCCACACAAGACGAAACAGCUGUCCAGUAC